rnacentral:sRNA from 1 species
GCUGGGCAUGGCGGCCCACACCUGUAAUCCCAGCAACUUGGGAAGCUGAGGCAGGAGGAUUGCAAGUGUGAUACCAGCCUCAGCAACUUAGCGAGACCCUGUCUCAA